GAUGAACGCUGGCGGCGUGCCUAAUACAUGCAAGUUGAGCGAACGGACGAGAAGCUUGCUUCUCUGAUGUUAGCGGCGGACGGGUGAGUAACACGUGGAUAACCUACCUAUAAGACUGGGAUAACUUCGGGAAACCGGAGCUAAUACCGGAUAAUAUUUUGAACCGCAUGGUUCAAAAGUGAAAGACGGUCUUGCUGUCACUUAUAGAUGGAUCCGCGCUGCAUUAGCUAGUUGGUAAGGUAACGGCUUACCAAGGCAACGAUGCAUAGCCGACCUGAGAGGGUGAUCGGCCACACUGGAACUGAGACACGGUCCAGACUCCUACGGGAGGCAGCAGUAGGGAAUCUUCCGCAAUGGGCGAAAGCCUGACGGAGCAACGCCGCGUGAGUGAUGAAGGUCUUCGAAUCGUAAAACUCUGUUAUUAGGGAAGAACAUAUGUGUAAGUAACUGUGCACAUCUUGACGGUACCUAAUCAGAAAGCCACGGCUAACUACGUG
rnacentral:rRNA from 1 species